rnacentral:rRNA from 1 species
UACGUAGGGCGCAAGCGUUAUCCGGAAUUACUGGGCGUAAAGAGCUCGUAGGUGGUUUGUCGCGUUGUUCGUGAAAACUCACAGCUCAACUGUGGGCGUGCGGGCGAUACGGGCAGACUUGAGUACUGCAGGGGAGACUGGAAGUUCCUGGUGUAGCGGUGGAAUGACGCAGAUAGUCAGGAGGAACACCGGUGGCGAAGGCGGGUCUCUGGGGC